UUCUCUCCUUUCUUUCUUUUCUCGUUGUACAUCCAAACCCUAGUUCUCUCUCUUCCAUCCACACCACAACCGUCCACCAUAUUUUUUCGAUUGAUCCGCUUCAAACCAGGAGGCCGCCGCUGCCGCUGCCGAGAGAUGUUAAGCCACCGCUGCCGCCGCCGAGAGAUGUUAAGCCCAAGCCGGAGAAGGGGAAGCGUCGCCGCCGCCGCAAGAUUUUGAGACCAGUCAAGGAUAGGAAGACGAUAGAUCGGCCAAGAUCGGGGGUGUUCUUGUCUAAUUUUGAGGACCACAGUACGUUUUACUUUUUUAUUUUUUUAUUUUUAUUUUUUGUUCUUCAACAGAUCGAAGAUCUUCAAAUGAUUUUUCAGAUUUGUGUUUUUACCAAUUCUUUUUUAAUUUAUACAUACUUUAUAUAUAUAUAUAUAUAUAUAUAUAUAUAUAUAUAUAUAUAUAUAUAUAUAUAUAUAUAUAUAUAUAUAUAUAUAUAUAUGCUUUUGUUUUGUUAUUAUGAUGUGACAUUUUAAACAUUGUGGAAAUUGAUUUUUUUUUCUAUUUCUUUUCUGGUUUACUUUUUUAAUUUCAUUUAUCUACUGGUUUACUAUUUGUUUUUUUGAAAACCUGUAUGGCUUACAACAAUCCAGCUGCUACUCUUUUUCGAGAUUUUGGGUGGUAUAAAUGAUACCAUAUCAUACCUAAUGGUAGAGGUGUCUCGUGUAUGGUUCUGUAUAUUUUGAAUAUAUAUGAAGAUUUAACUAUAGUCAUAUAUAGUCACAUGUAGGGACAUGUAGUAACAUAUGCACGUAACUGUGUAUUUUCUCUGUAUUUGUUGGUUAUGAGUUAAUUUAUAAUGUAAAUAUUUAAUUGAACUUGAUUUUUAAAAAGUAAAUAUAUACAAAUUUAUUGCCGUUGUACGGGAUCCGUAUUUCGACGAUGAUUUGUAUUGCCGAUGAAUAAGAUCUGUAUUCUGGCCUCAAUCGAUGAACAUAAUCAACAUUUCGAUGUAUUCCGCCGCACGAGUCUCUAAUAUGUAUGAGGUAAUUUGUUGUAUUUUUUUUAUUGUUUCAUGGAUUGAUGUUGGGCACUUGUAAUAAGUUCAAACUAUGUGAAAAAAUUAGAAUUGAUGAUUUACGCAAUUGUUUAGGCAUUUUUUUCGUGUAAUAAAAUGAAGUGCUUGAUGAACUGUUUUCUCUCUCUCUUCUCUCUCUUUCUUUCUCUUUCUUCAUCUCUUUCUCUCUAACUCUCUCUACACCCACAGCUCUCCGCCGCCGUUGCUCCCCUCACCUCCUUGCGUUGUCGCCGCUGCUCCCGACCUCCUUGCGCCGCCACCCCGUCGCUCCCCUCACCUCCUUGCACUGCCGCCGUCGCUGCUCCGCCGCCUUGCGUCGGUGCUCCGCCACGGCCUUGUGCCGGUCGUCGUUGCUCCUCCCACCGCCUUGAACUCGGUACUAAACCAUUCACUUCAUUUUUUUAAGUUUUUUAUUAAUUUAACCAGUAGUGGUUACUUACAUGAGUGAUUUGAGUCAGGUGAAUAUACAAUUAUAUUUAGUCAUAUACAGUCAUGUAUAGUCAGUCACAUGUAGUAAUGUAUAGUCAUGACUACAUGUAACUAUACAUGACUAUAUAUAGGACUUGUAGUAUAAUAUAGUUAUUUGUAGUCGACUUUAAUUCAGUAAAUUUAUCAACAAAAAAAAUCAUAUUUUUUUUGUAUUUUUCAUGUAAUUUGAUUUUUUAUUAUAAAUCAUAUAUAUGUAAUUUUUUUUUUGUAUUUAUUUGAAGAUGAUUUGAAAUACCUAAUGUGUGAGAGCUUUGUUUGUCUGUAAUAUAAAUUUAACCAGUAAUGGUUACUUAUAUGGGUGAUUUGAGUCAGGUGAAUAUACAGUUAUAUUUUGUCAUAUACAGUGACAUAUAGUCAGUCACAUGUAGUCAUGUAUAGUCAUGACUACUUGUGACUAUACAUGACUAUAUAUAGGACUUGUAGUAUACUAUAGUCAUUUGUAGUCGAUUUUAGUUCAGUAAAUUUAUCAACAAAAAAAAUCAUGUUUUUUUUUGUAUUUUUCAUGUAACCUAACUCGCAUGUUCCAUUUUGCUAUUUAACUCGUUUUUUUUUUGUCGCAGGUUUUGCUUUUAUUAUAAUUUUAUGACAUGCAGAGAAUAAAAUUCGAUGAAGUGCCUUUGUGAAGUUGGAUUCAUGCUACAGUACUCCGGACUUAUGCCACUUAUAUAACUAUAGAUAUUUGUAUAUAACUAUAGUCACUUGUAGUAACAUAUAUUUAUAUGUAUGUUAUGUGUUUUUAAUGUAUGGUAAUGCGUGUUCAUAUUUUAAAGAUUAUAUGCAUG
rnacentral:lncRNA from 1 species